AAUGAACGCUGGCGGCAUGCCUAACACAUGCAAGUCGAACGAAGGCUUCGGCCUUAGUGGCGCACGGGUGCGUAACGCGUGGGAAUCUGCCCUCAGGUUCGGAAUAACAGCGAGAAAUUGCUGCUAAUACCGGAUGAUAUCGCGAGAUCAAAGAUUUAUCGCCUGAGGAUGAGCCCGCGUAGGAUUAGCUAGUUGGUGUGGUAAAGGCGCACCAAGGCGACGAUCCUUAGCUGGUCUGAGAGGAUGAUCAGCCACACUGGGACUGAGACACGGCCCAGACUCCUACGGGAGGCAGCAGUGGGGAAUAUUGGACAAUGGGCGAAAGCCUGAUCCAGCAAUGCCGCGUGAGUGAUGAAGGCCUUAGGAUUGUAAAGCUCUUUUACCCGGGAUGAUAAUGACAGUACCGGGAGAAUAAGCUCCGGCUAACUCCGUGCCAGCAGCCGCGGUAAUACGGAGGGAGCUAGCGUUAUUCGGAAUUACUGGGCGUAAAGCGCACGUAGGCGGCUUUGUAGGUUAGAGGUGAAAGCCUGGAGCUCAACUCCAGAAUUGCCUUUAAGACUGCAUCGCUUGAAUCCAGGAGAGGUGAGUGGAAUUCCGAGUGUAGAGGUGAAAUUCGUAGAUAUUCGGAAGAACACCAGUGGCGAAGGCGGCUCACUGGACUGGUAUUGACGCUGAGGUGCGAAAGCGUGGGGAGCAAACAGG
rnacentral:rRNA from 1 species